UACAGAGGUCUCAAGCGUUGUUCGGAUUCAUUGGGCGUAAAGGGUGUGUAGGUGGCGCCGUAAGUCGGGUGUGAAAUUUCGGAGCUUAACUCCGAAACUGCAUUCGAUACUGCGGUGCUUGAGGACUGGAGAGGAGACUGGAAUUCAUGGUGUAGCAGUGAAAUGCGUAGAGAUCAUGAGGAAGACCAGUGGCGAAGGCGGUUGCCUGGGGCUUUGCUGACGCUGAGGCGCGAAAGCGUGGGGAGCGAUCCGG
rnacentral:rRNA from 1 species